rnacentral:rRNA from 1 species
AGCGAACGCUGGCGGCAGGCUUAACACAUGCAAGUCGAGCGGGCCUUUCGGGGUCAGCGGCGGACGGGUGAGUAACGCGUGGGAACGUGCCCUCUGGUUCGGAAUAACUCAGGGAAACUUGAGCUAAUACCGGAUACGCCCUUUUGGGGAAAGGCUUGCUGCGGGAGGAUCGGCCCGCGUCUGAUUAGCUAGUUGGUGAGGUAACGGCUCACCAAGGCGUCGAUCAGUAGCUGGUCUGAGAGGAUGAUCAGCCACACUGGGACUGAGACACGGCCCAGACUCCUACGGGAGGGAGUAGUGGGGAAUAUUGGACAAUGGGCGCAAGCCUGAUCCAGCCAUGCCGCGUGAGUGAUGAAGGCCUUAGGGUUGUAAAGCUCUUUUAUCCGGGACGAUAAUGACGGUACCGGAGGAAUAAGCCCCGGCUAACUUCGUG